AGUGAACGCUGGCGGUAGGCCUAACACAUGCAAGUCGAACGGCAGCACAGUAAGAGCUUGCUCUUACGGGUGGCGAGUGGCGGACGGGUGAGGAAUACAUCGGAAUCUACUUUUUCGUGGGGGAUAACGUAGGGAAACUUACGCUAAUACCGCAUACGACCUACGGGUGAAAGCAGGGGAUCUUCGGACCUUGCGCGAUUGAAUGAGCCGAUGUCGGAUUAGCUAGUUGGCGGGGUAAAGGCCCACCAAGGCGACGAUCCGUAGCUGGUCUGAGAGGAUGAUCAGCCACACUGGAACUGAGACACGGUCCAGACUCCUACGGGAGGCAGCAGUGGGGAAUAUUGGACAAUGGGCGCAAGCCUGAUCCAGCCAUACCGCGUGGGUUAAGAAGGCCUUCGGGUUGGAAAGCCCUUUUGUUGGGAAAGAAAAGCAGCAGGUUAAUACCCCGCUGUUCUGACGGUACCCAAAGAAUAAGCACCGGCUAACUUCGUG
rnacentral:rRNA from 1 species